UUUAGGUCUCAGAGGUCUUGCAGGCAGAGACUCAUUCAGGUGUCUGUGUUUGUGUCAGAGUCAGAGAGCCGUGUGUCUCUACAGCGAGAGGUUUUUGUACGACGACUCCAUCAGUUUGUAUCACUGUGGCUCACGUUCGGUGGAGGAACCAGACUGGAUAUUGGAAGUGAUGUGCGUCCCACCCUGACGGUGCUGCCCCCCUCCAAUGAGGAGCUGGAGCAGGGGAAGGCCACCCUCAUGUGCCUGGCCAACAAAGGCUUCCCCUCAGGCUGGAGUCUGGCCUGGAAGGUGGACGGCAGCAGCAGCAGCAGCAGCUGGGAGGAGAGCAGGAGCCCUGCGGUGCUGGAGAAGGACGCUCUCUACAGCUGGAGCAGCACCCUGAGGCUCUCUGCAGACCAGUGGAGGAAGGUGGGCUCUGUGACCUGUGAGGCCACCCAGGGCGCCCAGGCUCGAGUCACAGAAAGUCUGAGUAGAGACCAGUGUUCCCAGUAAUGCCUCACUGGGACUGUGCUGCUGGUUUUACUGUGAUACUGCUCUCACUCUGCACCUCUCUCUCUCUUUAUUUCAUGUUUCUAAACAAUAAAUAUUAGCUUGUUGCUUCAUAUGUGUGUGUAUUGUUUCCUGAUAAUCUGUUCAUUAAAUCAAUGAGAAAUACA